AAUUCUGAAACCAUUGGAUACAACCUCACCACAUUCAGACGGUUCUUUGGUGGUGGAAUAGCAACUAUUGAAAUGAAUUACCGUAUGAACAAAAAGAAUACAAAUCAGGACUGAUAUAAUUGCUCAAGAAAUCUAUCCAUUGUUUGUAUCUUGCUUGUUUGUCUUGGAUAUUAAGAAGAUGCGCACGUCUGACAAGCAGUGACGUGACGUAGAGGAGUAUGUGGGGCUGCUCUCCAUGGCCAUUUCCUAGCAAACACCAGAGUCACGCAGGAGCACAAGGUGCAUCUGUAUCCUUACACAAUCCUGAUUCACCACUCGCUGGAGAAGUUCCAGUUUAGUAGUUUAUCCUCAGACCACCUCCAACAGGAUCGAUGAUUCCGCGAGCUAAGGGCAACUCCAACCGAGCUUUUUGUUAGACCCAUACCUCCUCUAUGAGGGCUAAAACCCAAAAAUCUCUUUCCAACCGGUCUCUCAUCACAACCCCGACGGAUGAGGCGAGCUUAUUUCCCGCUCCGACUCUCGCUCGUAGGAGCUCCUUUGCCGAGCUCUCAUCCGGUGACGACGCCAACGGCCGGCCCUCCAGCGCAUCCAUGGAGCUUUUCCCGCGACGUCCACAGACGUUUCCCCGCGCUAGAUUCAACAAGCAUGUGUGAUGUACAAGGAUGCAGAUUCAGAUAAGUGGUUAUUUGAUUUACUGCAUUGUUGGAACCUGCUACAGCAUGCCCAGAAGUGGAAGGACCUUCCUUGUAAUAGCAACAACAAAAAAUAAAGAUGAAAGGUACUGCCGUUCGAAAUAUAGCCGUUUGAAAUAUAGCAAUUUGAAAUAUAGCUGUUUUAAAUAUAGCCGUUGCAAAUGUAGUUGUUGUUCAAAUAGUUGUUAGCUGCCAAAUUAUUAAAAACUAAUGGUUAAAAAUAAUUCCAUUCAAAAGUUAUUACUAGAAAAUGUAGUCAUUUAUAGAAUGAUUGUUGGUAAUAAAUAAUGUUUGCAUA